UGCCCAAGAGAUCGGGAUAACACCUGGAAACAGAUGCUAAUACCGGAUAACAACAGAUGAUGCCUAUCAACUGUUUAAAAGAUGGUUCUGCUAUCACUCUUGGAUGGACCUGCGGUGCAUUAGCUAGUUGGUAGGGUAACGGCCUACCAAGGCGAUGAUGCAUAGCCGAGUUGAGAGACUGAUCGGCCACAUUGGGACUGAGACACGGCCUAAACUCCUACGGGAGGCAGCAGCC
rnacentral:rRNA from 1 species